rnacentral:rRNA from 1 species
UACGAAGGGGGCUAGCGUUGUUCGGAUUUACUGGGCGUAAAGCGCACGUAGGCGGAUCGAUCAGUCAGGGGUGAAAUCCCAGAGCUCAACUCUGGAACUGCCUUUGAUACUGUCGAUCUGGAGUAUGGAAGAGGUGAGUGGAAUUCCGAGUGUAGAGGUGAAAUUUGUAGAUAUUCGGAGGAACACCAGUGGCGAAGGCGGCUCACUGGUCCAGUUACUGACGCUGAGGUGCGAAAGCGUGGGGAGCAAACAGG